GUGGGUAUAGCUCAGUUGGGAGAGUGCUGGACUGAAGAUUUGGUGGUCAUGUGUUCAAUCCAUAUUUUUACA
rnacentral:tRNA from 1 species